GAUCUUCUCUAUAUGAAAACAUAGAUGUCAAGUGUUGUAUUCAGCCAUGAGAGAUGACUGCCCUCUGUUGUUUCAGAAUUAAGAAAAUGGAGACUCAAAAAGCUGGGUGCCAAUGGAAAAAUCAACAAAUAUAGCUGUCACUGAGGAAAGCAGUGCGAGAAUCCUACUGUGUCCUAUAGACACUGAGCUUGGCCCUGAGACCCUGGCUGGUGGAAGGUGGAUAGAAGGGAUGCUGUGCUAGCUCUGAGUAGAGGCUUUAGGAAAUACUGCAUGUUUCUGCUCACCCCUACUACCUCCCUGCACUCCUGCCAUCUAUCAAUAGAAGAACAGAGAAGAUAUUGCUCCUUCAUCAUGGAUUUGGAAAUAGAAAACCCAUGGAGCACACAUGAGUCUGCCUAUGUAGUCUGGAGCCAAGCUUGGCCCAGCCCAGCCAAGCUAAAACAGACCACGGCUGACCCACAGACCUGUGUUACUUCUGGAACUAUAUUUGAAGCAGUAAGUGGAUACAACCAUGUAACCAAUGCCCUGAUCAACAAAUGAAGCAUUCCCAACAUCCUUCUACUUUUAUCAGUCACUACAAACACUUCCCAGAGAGGACAUGGAUGAAUCUGGAGAACAUCAUUCUCAGCAAACUGACACAAGAACAGAAAAUGAAAUACCGCAUAUUCUCGCUCAUAGGCGGGUGAUGAAAAAUGAGAACACAUAGACACAGGGAGGUGAGUACUAAACACUGGGGACUAUUGGGGGGGAAGGGGAGGGCCAGCGGGAGGGGGAUCUGGGGAGGGAUAGCCUGGGGAGAAAUGCCAAAUGUGGGUGAAGGGGAGAAAGGAAGCAAAACACACUGCCAUGUGUGUACCUAUGCAACUGUCUUGCAUGUUCUGCACAUGUACCCCAAAACCUAAAAUGCAAUAAAAAAUUUUUUAAAAAAAGGAGCAAGACUGUGUGCCAAAAAAAGAAAAAAAGCCUAGGAGUGGACUUUCUGGUUCAUAGGGCAUUUUAUGUGUUUACCUAUGGCAGAUACUCCUGAACUCUUCUCCAAAGUGACCAUACCAAGGGUUCCUGUUGUUUUUUGUAUACUCAUCAGCUCCUGGUCUUGUUAGUCUUUUUAUCUGUAAUCAUUCUGGUGGACAUGUUGUGUUGUUAAUUUGUAUUUCUCCGAUGAGUAAUGACAUUGAGCACUUUAAAAAUACCUGGCUUCUUUCCCUUUCUUUUUAAAAAAGAAAAAA
rnacentral:lncRNA from 1 species